rnacentral:misc_RNA from 1 species
UAUAGAUCAAUCCAGCGCACCUGGAAUGGAUCUCAAUCAUUUACAAUUUGAGUAUUUUCUUCUAAAAUUUUUUUCUUUUGAUUCUUAUAUGAUAUAAUUUUAACUGUCUUAUUCUAUUAAAUGGUCUCUUAAAUUGAAGAAAUCUAGUGUAUAGUCAAGUAUCUAUUCAUUCUUCACAGGGGAAAACCAAACUAUUGAAUGGGCAAUG